ACUUGCAUCAUCUCUGUCUGUAUCACAUUAACAGCAGCAGCAGCAUUAACAACAACAGGUAGUAUUUCAGCCUCAUUCUGGGAAUGACCUGGACUUGCACCAUCUCUGUCUGUAUCCCAUUUACAGUAGCAGCAGCAUUAACAACAACAGGUAGUAUUUCAGCCUCAUUCUGGGAAAACAGGGCUUAAUGCAUGAGGAUAGUGUUGUCCCAGACAAGCAUGUGAAGUUUGCUCAGGCAAAUCAGAGACAACACUUUCUGCAUAAACCUUGAAACUAAAAAUUCCAUUAGAGCAAAUAAUGCAGACUGCAGAGGCUAUUCUGGGACAUAGUUUAGGCUCAUGCAUUAAGCCCAGUGUUUAAAGAGUUUAGAGUUUCAUAUUUAUAACCCAUGUACAAGUUUCAAAUUUCCAUUAAUCAUUGCUUGUCAUGCAUAUUUAUUUGUAUUGUCCUACGUUUGUAUGGAUCAUGUAAACUUACAUAAAGCGUUGAUUGUGAUGUCAAAAUGUACAUAUAAGAAUUGUAUUUUGUUAUGAUUUUAAGGUUUAAAUUGGAACAUUUUUUUGUUUCACACUAUAUUUCAAUAUGUUAAUUAAAAGUAUAUGUAUUCAAGCUUGAUUGCAUCGAAAGCCUGAGGCUCUUGAGUCCGUUUUCUCGGUAGAACCAGUACUUUAUGUGUAUCUUAAGUAGAUCUAAAGAACACUCCUAUAGUGAAGAUCUAACUCUUUACCCCUUUGUCCCUGCGUGGACACCAUACAUACUAGGCCAUGGCUACAUCGAGUAGGUAAUGAACAUGAUACUUAAUCACAAAGCAGAGUUAUAUCCAGGGUAGUUGCCUUGAUGCGCUUCUCAUCUUGCCAUGCGACUCCCUGGUUAACAGCAGGUCAACCCGCCAUACAGUGUGGAAUCACAGGUCCAAUAUCUGAAACACAACAACUUUCCAGCUGAGAGGCCCAUUAUGGAGAUACCAAAACACCAAGAUACCAAGCCGCGGCUUGCUACCAUGCUCCGUGUCCACCCCACCCAAACUUAGACCCCUCCGUCUUCAACCAUGCCACAUAACCAUAGGGGAGUUAACCAGGACUUGAACCAAAACAGGGACUUUAACUGCGAGACAGUUUGGAAGGUCCUGAAACAAUACUUCUCGUUCAGAACUGCUCAGGAGGGACGGUACUCUCUGUCAGAUUAUCUGGGGGCGUCCUUGUCUUCAAUUCAGUCCCCGGUGUCCACUCUGGUUCCAUGGGAAUGUACUCGAAUCUCCAGUAGAGCUACCAAAACCAACAAAGCAACUACCCGCAGCCAAAGCUAGUUUACCCUUAAACAUUUAGCACGGCAGGGAAAUGCAAAAGGCCAAACCAUGCCUCAGCCAAAUGGCAGCAGCAUAAACGCUUAUCUGGGGCAGUCCGGUUUGUCGCAAAGUGAGCCCAAAAUGUUUGGCACCCCAGUUACAUCACGAGGUUAUGUAAAAAAUUCAGAGUGUUUAAGAACAAACCCUGAACCCACCUUUCGGAGCAGGAAAUCUUAGCGAGGAACAAUUAUGGUGGAUAUCAAACCUGCCCAGACAAAAAAAACAACCUCAGGCACACCAACAGUUUUCAACGCCGCAACCUUAAGCAGAAGAAAAGAAAUGCUGACUAGAAGUUUGUUGAGGAUGGACACGGAGGAAAGUGGAUAGAAUUUAGCUAUAAGACAAGUUAGGAUGGUGAAAUAAAUCAUGUCAUACCUGUAUCAGCUAGAGUUGAAACCUUUUAUAGUGGAUGUUGUCGCUCCUAGGGAGUGUACAGAAGAAACGCAGGCUGGUGCUUUUUGUAGUUCAAUGAAGGGUUAGAGGUUCAUGAACGUGUAUCAAGCCAAACCUCUGUUUGUAUAAUGCCAAGAGCCUGUCUAAGACUAAUCGGGGACGAUACUUUUGCCCAGACUAGAUUUCUUGGUUGGAAAAGACUACAUUUAAACAAAAUUUCCUUUAAAGCAGAGAGUUUUGUCACUGAUAAGGACUGCAUUUGCUACCCGGCACUUUACUUUACUCACAUGAAUUAAGCACGGUUUUCCCAAUAUUGAACAUUUAACAUUGACAUUUGAAUCAUUCAUGCAAAGUGGCUGCUUGAUCAAGCUAGCACAAAAUCUUAAUAGUAUUCAUUGAGACCAAGACAUUUUACUGCCCGCCAGUGCAAAGAUUGAUUGAAUAGACAAUAACUGGUUCAGGGCAUUUGGAUUGUACUACAGUAACAUGUUGUAAAGUUUUUAGGUGAUAACAACUGACUUAGUAUCCACUAUUAAAUAAUUGUUGCAGACAUUGAUCUACACUCAUCAAAGUAUUUUUGUUUUGUUGUAAUAUAAAAUGUAACAAUAUUAAAAUGGCCGAGAUGCAAAUACGAUAAGUAUUAUAUAAUAGCUAAUGUGCAAUGUAUUGUUUACAGUAAAGUUGGCAGACAAUAGUGUUGAAAUGUCUCAAAUUGCAGACUUUAAAUGUAACAAUAUUAAAUAGUGAUUAUAGGCAGUUAAUGUGUUCUCCAGAUGUCAGAGGAAUAUUCUGUUACGUUUGGAAGAUAGGAUACAGUCAUAAGAAAGUGUAUUCAUUUCAUGCAUAGUAAUUGUUUUAUGUUUCGAUGUUAUGUGAAGUUGAUAUUAUACUUGUGUUCAAUGUAUUAUUUCACUCAUGUGGAUUAUCAUAGUAAUAACACAUACUUAUGUGCGCUAUACUAUUUAAUGAUGUUACUAUGCUGGUGGCUCAAGUAAGACUGUAUCAGUCUCGUGGCUUGUGCUAUUUCCCGUCACACUCGAGGCUCGCAUCUCGUGUGAUACGUCAUUACACAAGUCACUCGACGGAUACAAACUCUUUGAACAAUCGACUAGCGUAAUAUUCCGCAUAUAAAUCUGUUUUGUAUAUGUCAACAAGUAAAGUAUUUCAGCUUAGGUUUGAAAUAAAAAUUAAACGACACAUUGUUAACUAAAAAGUUAUCAAUGGUUUCGUCAGAAAAAUACUGCAGGAUAUUUAUGUCAGGAGUACCAACACAGAAAAACAAUAUCUUAACAUCCUUUUUCUUGAAAUGAAAAGUAACACAUUUAGAUUUAGAAAAUUAUAUGUUAUUCUAAUCUAGAAAUGUAUUUUAAAUAGGUUAGGUCUUCUCAUGAUUAAGUAUAUAAUUAAUUUGAAAUACUGGAAAUAUAAUUAACGUCGUGAUACAUAUAUAGUAUAAUAUAGCAAAGUAUUUUUUAACGAAACUCAUAUCAUAAGAUUUGUAUAUACUCACUUCAUGUUGACGAAAUGCUUAUUCUUUUUGAAAAAUACCGUCUGCAGUCAAAUUAGUUUUGUUGAUUUUUUAUACAUUUUAUUGAAUGUACAUACAUAUUUAUGUAUAAUACUAUAUAUUUUGUUUAACAUUCAAAGUACCAUUUUUUUAACACUUAAUACCUCACCUUUUAUGUCAAAUUCAGCCCAUUUGAGCCGCAUUCUGGUAAAAUGUGACUUGACGCAUGUUGGCUAAGUGUCGUCCCAGAUUGGCAGUCCUCACAUGCUAAUUUGGGACGACAGUUUUCGCUUUAAUGUAUUUUUCAUUUUCAAUAAGUAUUUUAUAAGCGAAAUCAAGUUUUGAAAAGUGUCGUCGGUGAUUUCCAGCAGAAUGUUAGGAUUGCACGAGCUUAUCUGGGACGACAGACACUUUACGCACAUGCGUUACGUCCCUUUUUCCGACAGAGCGGCUCAUUUAAAAGUUGAUAAAAAAUCAGAAUGACCACAGAUCCUUAAGAUAUAUCCUCAAUAGAGAUUGUAUAUGGAACCAAAUCAUAUAAAAGCGAUAAACAAAACCACAACAACUUU